AUAACAAUGCCGGGCCUUUGUAGGUCUGGCAAUUGGAAUGAGAACAAUUUAAACCCCUUAUCGAGUAUCAAUUGGAGGGCAAGUCUGGUGCCAGCAGCCGCGGUAAUUCCAGCUCCAAUAGCGUAUAUUAAAGUUGUUGCAGUUAAAAAGCUCGUAGUUGGAUUUGUGGCAGUCGCAUGCGGCCCGGCAUUCGUGUCGGUGUUUGCUCGCGUCGCCAUCCUUGGGUGGAACCUGUGUGGCAUUAGGUUGUCGUGCAGGGGAUGCCCAUCAUUUACUGUGAAAAAAUUAGAGUGUUCAAAGCAGGCUUAUGCCGUUGAAUAUAUUAGCAUGGAAUAAUAAGAUAGGACCUUGGUACUAUUUUGUUGGUUUGCGCACCAAGGUAAUGAUUAAUAGGGACAGUUGGGGGUAUUCGUAUUCCAUUGUCAGAGGUGAAAUUCUUGGAUUUCUGGAAGACGAACUACUGCGAAAGCAUUUACCAAGGAUGUUUUCAUUAAUCAAGAACGAAAGUUAGGGGAUCGAAGAUGAUUAGAUACCAUCGUAGUCUUAACCCAUAAACAUGCCGACAAGGGAUUGGCGGAGUCUCGUUUUGUCUCCGUCAGCACUUU
rnacentral:rRNA from 1 species